UCCCUCGUGCACCAACUGGUAGGUGACUUGGCUGUUAACCAAGCGUAACCCGGCAAGACCGGUAUGGGGGUUCGAAGCCCUCCGAGGGAGCCA
rnacentral:tRNA from 1 species